rnacentral:rRNA from 1 species
GUGGCAGCCGCCGCGGUAAGACAGAGGUCUCGAGCGUUAUCCGGAUUCACUGGGCGUAAAGGGCGUCUAGGCGGUUUCGUGUGUCAUCUGUGAAAGCUCCCGGCUCAACUGGGAGAGGUCGGGUGAAACUACGAAACUCGAGCUUCGGAGGGGAGAGUGGAACUUCCAGAGUAACGGUGAAAUGUGCAGAUACUGGAAGGUACCUCGAUAGCGAAGGCAGCUCUCUGGCCGACAGCUGACGCUGAAGCGCGAAAGCGUGGGUAGCAAACCGGAUUAGAUACCCGGGUAGUCCACGCCCCAAACGAUGUCAACUUGGUGUUGGCUCCUUUAACUGAGGGCCAGUGCCGCAGCUAACGCGUUAAGUUGACCGCCUGGGGACUACGGCCGCAAGGCUAAAACUCAAGGGAAUUGACGGGGGCCCGCACAAGCGGUGGAGCACGUGGUUUAAUUCGAUGAUAAGCGAAGAACCUCACCUGGGCUUGACAUGUUUGUGGUACCAACCCGAAAGGGAAGGGACCAUCUUCUUCGGAAGAUGGAGCAUUCACAGGUGCUGCAUGGCCGUCGUCAGCUCGUGUCGUAGGACGUCGGGUUAAGUCCCUCAACGAGCGCAACCCCUACACUUUGUUGCCAUCAGUUCGGCUGGGCACUCUAAGUGGACUGCCAGCGAAUAGCUGGAGGAGGGAGGGGAUGACGUCAGGUCAGUAUGGCCCUUAUGUCCAGGGCGACACACGUGCUACAAUGGCCGGUACAAAGGGUCGCGAAAUCGCAAGGUGGAGCCAAUCUCAAAAAACCGGUCUCAGUUCGGAUUGGGGUCUGCAAUUCGACCCCAUGAAGUCGGAAUCGCUAGUAAUCGCAGGUCAGCCAUACUGCGGUGAAUACGUACUCGGGCCUUGCACACACCGCCCGUC